CAGCAGCCGCCGCGGUAAUACAGAGGGUGCGAGCGUUAAUCGGAUUUACUGGGCGUAAAGCGUGCGUAGGCGGCUUCUUAAGUCGGAUGUGAAAUCCCUGAGCUUAACUUAGGAAUUGCAUUCGAUACUGGGAAGCUAGAGUAUGGGAGAGGAUGGUAGAAUUCCAGGUGUAGCGGUGAAAUGCGUAGAGAUCUGGAGGAAUACCGAUGGCGAAGGCAGCCAUCUGGCCUAAUACUGACGCUGAGGUACGAAAGCAUGGGGAGCAAACAGGAUUAGAUACCCGCGUAGUCCCUGUCUCUUAUAC
rnacentral:rRNA from 1 species